rnacentral:rRNA from 2 species
CAUGGUUCAAGGAUGAAAGACGGUUUCGGCUGUCACUUACAGAUGGACCCGCGGCGCAUUAGCUAGUUGGUGAGGUAACGGCUCACCAAGGCGACGAUGCGUAGCCGACCUGAGAGGGUGAUCGGCCACACUGCGACUGAGACACGGCCCAGACUCCUACGGGAGGCAGCAGUAGGGAAUCUUCCGCAAUGGACGAAAGUCUGACGGAGCAACGCCGCGUGAGUGAUGAAGGUUUUCGGAUCGUAAAGCUCUGUUGUUAGGGAAGAACAAGUGCAAGAGUAACUGCUUGCACCUUGACGGUACCUAACCAGAAAGCCACGGCUAACUACGUGCCAGCAGCCGCGGUAAUACGUAGGUGGCAAGCGUUGUCCGGAAUUAUUGGGCGUAAAGGGCUCGCAGGCGGUUUCUUAAGUCUGAUGUGAAAGCCCCCGGCUCAACCGGGGAGGGUCAUUGGAAACUGGGAAACUUGAGUGCAGAAGAGGAGAGUGGAAUUCCACGUGUAGCGGUGAAAUGCGUAGAGAUGUGGAGGAACACCAGUGGCGAAGGCGACUCUCUGGUCUGUAACUGACGCUGAGGAGCGAAAGCGUGGGGAGCGAACAGGAUUAGAUACCCUGGUAGUCCACGCCGUAAACGAUGAGUGCUAAGUGUUAGGGGGUUUCCGCCCCUUAGUGCUGCAGCUAACGCAUUAAGCACUCCGCCUGGGGAGUACGGUCGCAAGACUGAAACUCAAAGGAAUUGACGGGGGCCCGCACAAGCGGUGGAGCAUGUGGUUUAAUUCGAAGCAACGCGAAGAACCUUACCAGGUCUUGACAUCCUCUGACAACCCUAGAGAUAGGGCUUUCCCUUCGGGGACAGAGUGACAGGUGGUGCAUGGUUGUCGUCAGCUCGUGUCGUGAGAUGUUGGGUUAAGUCCCGCAACGAGCGCAACCCUUGAUCUUAGUUGCCAGCAUUCAGUUGGGCACUCUAAGGUGACUGCCGGUGACAAACCGGAGGAAGGUGGGGAUGACGUCAAAUCAUCAUGCCCCUUAUGACCUGGGCUACACACGUGCUACAAUGGACAGAACAAAGGGCUGCGAGACCGCAAGGUUUAGCCAAUCCCACAAAUCUGUUCUCAGUUCGGAUCGCAGUCUGCAACUCGACUGCGUGAAGCUGGAAUCGCUAGUAAUCGCGGAUCAGCAUGCCGCGGUGAAUACGUUCCCGGGCCUUGUAC